rnacentral:rRNA from 1 species
AUUGAACGCUGGCGGCAGGCCUAACACAUGCAAGUCGAGCGGAUGAAGGGAGCUUGCUCCUGGAUUCAGCGGCGGACGGGUGAGUAAUGCCUAGGAAUCUGCCUGGUAGUGGGGGAUAACGUCCGGAAACGGGCGCUAAUACCGCAUACGUCCUGAGGGAGCAAGUGGGGGAUCUUCGGACCUCACGCUAUCAGAUGAGCCUAGGUCGGAUUAGCUAGUUGGUGGGGUAAAGGCCUACCAAGGCGACGAUCCGUAACUGGUCUGAGAGGAUGAUCAGUCACACUGGAACUGAGACACGGUCCAGGCUCCUACGGGAGGCAGCAGUGGGGAAUAUUGGACAGUGGGCGAAAGCCUGAUCCAGCCAUGCCGCGUGUGUGAAGAAGGUCUUCGGAUUGUAAAGCACUUUAAGUUGGGAGGAAGGGCAGUAAGUUAAUACCUUGCUGUUUUGACGUUACCAACAGAAUAAGCACCGGCUAACUUCGUG